AGAGUUUGAUUAUGGCUCAGGAUGAACGCUAGCGGCAGGCCUAAUACAUGCAAGACGAACGGUAACUUGAGUAGCAAUAUUUGAGCAAGAGUGUCGUAAGGGUGCGUAACACGUAUGCAAUCUGCCCUCAACAGGAGGAUAGCUCCCCGAAAGGGGAAUUAACACUCCAUAAGAUCACAUAAUGGCAUCAUUGAGUGAUUAAAACUACGGUGGUUGAGGAUGAGCAUGCGCAUGAUUAGUUAGUUGGCGGGGUAACGGCCCACCAAGACGAUGAUCAUUAGGGGAACUGAGAGGUUGAUCCCCCACACUGGCACUGAGAUACGGGCCAGACUCCUACGGGAGGCAGCAGUAGGGAAUAUUGGACAAUGGGUGCGAGCCUGAUCCAGCCAUGCCGCGUGCAGGAAGACGGCCUUCUGGGUUGUAAACUGCUUUUGCCAGGGGAUAAAAAGUCCCUGCGGGGAAAAUUGAAGGUACCUGGUGAAUAAGCCACGGCUAACUACGUGCCAGCCGCCGCGGUAA
rnacentral:rRNA from 1 species